ACUGGUGUGGGAAUAACCAAGGCCCCGGUCAGCAACAGCAGGUGCAGAAGACCGAAAGCCAGGGAACGAUCUCUGAGGUCCGGAGACGGCGGGAAUCUGGAGUGAGGUGCAGGCCAAGGCCGCCCCAGCCCUGCCUGGUCUCCACUCUGCAGGGGGAAGACCCGUAGCAGCUCCUGCCAGGCCCGCGGCAAUGUUCCAUUAUUAGAGAAAUGCAACCUGGCCACCUCGAGGAGCUCUCCUGACGCCCCCCUCGGCCAACCAGGCCCCCUGGGCUCCCCCUCCCCCCUCGGCCAGCCAGGGCUGCUGCUGCUGACUUAAAACGCUGCCCUCCAUUCUAUCUUUAGCUCUGGCUGCUGGGAGCCUGAGUGACAGGCAGGGUGGGGGCCUGUGCUGGGGUGGGGAAAUUUUACAGCUGCCGGGUUUGCUGAGAAGGUGGCACUGACUGCAAGGAGCGGGGCCCAUGUGAUAUUCACUGCUCCAUCUGAGGUCAGGGCCACGGCAGGACCGGGUUCCGCUCACGUGUGCGGGGCGGGGAUGGAUGGAUGGGUGGGUGCAUCCAUGCAUGGAUGGAGCAGAGGCCCUGAGGAGGGAAAGACAGCAAGGCCAGCUGGUCCACAGACCAAGAGGACAUGGACCUCGAAGGAACUCCGUGUGACUCUGGUGCUGGGGACUGAGCCAAGAGCCCUGCUCGUGUCAGCAGGUGGCAAGAAUAGCCCGUCAGCCUCCUCUGUCAGGACUGAUGUGAAAAUCCCUCCUCUGCACGGAGGCACACAGCGAGCUCCCACGCAGCCAAUUACUGUUUUCCAGGUCUGGAAGAGGCUGGCGACACAGAGGGGAGGCAGAGUCGGGACACACCCCGGGGGAGCAUGCCAGGGCGCAGCAGGAUCCAGCGGCCCAGCUGAACGAGUGAGGCCAGGAAAUAAGGUCCCUGGCAAGCCAGGAAGGCGCCCGCCUGGGUCUCGGUCCGGCCUCCCGCACUCAGCUCCCAGUGUGACACAAGCUCCUGCGUGGACGCUGUGCCCCGGCUUCUGCUCUUCCCACACACCGCCUGGGCUUCUGCUCGGAAGCCUGCUGCGGGUCCAGCAGUGCCUCGCACUGUGCCCGGCUUACUCACGGGGACUGCCCGGGCCCACUGCCUGCUCGCUGACCCGGCUCCCACGCUCAGACGCCGACGUGGCUCCGUCCGUAGACGACCAGCUUUCUACUUCCCCCUCUUGCAGACCCCCGCAGCACCUCCCUUCUCUGCCCAGUCAUGGCAUGCCCUGUGAACAGCAGGUCACUGCCUCCUCCCCGCCCGGAAGCCGCAGUACUCUCAGACUAACACGAUCGGCCGCUCCGCUGGGGGUGCACAGAUGAGGGGUGUGUGUGCAGGUUCCGUCACGUCCCUCCAGGGUCACCCUUCCCGCAGGGACCGUGCUGGUUCCCCUGGGAGGUGGGCCCGGGCCGCUGUCUGACUGGCAGCUUUGUUUUGGGGGAGGACGACCAGUGCAGGUUUGCCAUCUGGAAGACGGCAGGACGGAGUCAGGUGAGAGGACCAGCUACAGUGGCCUUUCCGACAGCAGGGCUUCCCCAGGGCCCUGUCAUGAAACCAGGGCCGCGUGGUGUCUGCCAGCCCCAUUCCACAGCACUCCUCCCCGCAUGCCAGGCGAGGUGCAGACACAGCCACUUGUCACCUGCAGGGUGGCUUGGACCGCUUGGGCUCCUGCACACUGCUGAGGGGUGAGGGGUGGGGGCGAUUUGGGGCACGGAGUCGGCUCAGCACACGGUCCGGGCUGUUGUGUGGUUUUAUUAUUUAUUUAUUUAUUUUUUCCGGUACCAGGAAUCGAACUCACGACCUUGCGCUCGCCGGGCAGGCGCUGUGCCGCUGAGCUAAGUCCCCAGCCCCCUGUUGUGUGGUUUUAGAUGCAGAGAUGCGAGCGCCGUGUGUGUCUGCUGCACAGUCUGCCGGUUUAACUCAGAUUAACCUUUAGGCGCUUUCCGGCCUGUGAUCUCUUUGUUUAUUAGAAAAUGAAAAGCUCCCCCUGCCAGCAAUUAAUUUACCAAAAUAAACAAGAUUUCUGCUUUUCGUGACAAAGACAGUCCCUGAAUGCCAAUCUCAGGGCUGCCAGAUUGCAGUUUCAAGAGGGCGCAGGCAGCGCGGGUACGGCGGGCAGGUGGUUCACUGCGGAGCCGACGCGCAGAGGAGAAGCCCGCUCAAGGGGGUCUGGGGGAAGCACCGCCCGGGUUCCGUCCGCCUCAAAUUUUCUGGCAGCAAAUCUCCGUGCUCCCACCCUCUUGGCUCCCACCCUCCCUUUUCUCACUGCAGAUGGUUCUCGGUGUUUUCCCUGUCCUGUUUGGUUUAUCCCAGCUCCUUCCUGACAUGGGCGCGGCCCGAUCCUCUGCUGCCACCACUUCGCUGCCCAUCGGCCGCUCGAGGCGUUUGCUGGCCUGAUCCUCUCGUCCAAGAGCCGCUCCUGGGGCCGGUGACCGGACAGACAGGGUCCAGACUGCAGGCCCCACCUCGCUUCUCCGCUAGGCCCUGCGUGGCCAGGGCAGGACAGAGGAGGCAGAGCCGCCUGGAAGCUCAGGAGGGUGAGACGGAUGUGCUCAGGGAGGCAGAGCGCAGAGCGGGGCUGGGGGUGGAGGCGCUGAGUGGCACCAGCCCAAGACCGUUAGAGACCACACUGCGGGGGUUCAAAGCGGCCCGAUUAAGCCUGGGAACAUUGACUUCCUCCUCUCAGCCCCGCUGGGAACCAGCCCUGUGAUCACAGAGCGAUCAUGGCUGCUGCUGUCCCAGGCCCAGCACGCCCCUGGGUGGGGAGAGAAGGACUCACCAGUCCUCCUCAGACACCGACUCCUCCAACUGCCCACCUCGCCGGGCUGCUUCUGAGGACGCUGCUGCUCCAGCUCAGCAGUGUGCGUGCUUAUCUGUCCUGGGGUUUUAUCUACUCGGUCCCGGGGAUUCCCGGCGGAUCAGUGAGGUGGGUGGGCCUGGCUUCACGGUGCCUGGGGUUCAAAACAGACUCAGCCGCAGCGUCCCGGCACUCGCGGUUCUCCUGGAGUCCAGAUAAACACGGGAGUCUGUCCCAGAACAGGCUGGUCACAGCACCCCAGGGAGUCUUCUCACCUGGAUCCUUUGAAGAGACACAAGUGGCCCCAAGUCUCUUUGGCGGGGUGGCUAGGAAAAGGACUCUUGAUAACAUUUAAUUAGCAGUUUACAGUCCAGACUCAAUGAGCUGUUUGCUAUGGACUGAGUUCAGCCCGGGAUGUCCAACUACUGUGCCCGCAGGGUACUGCGUCAGGUCUCAGUGGGAGUGGUGUGUGGUACAAAACGAACAAGAAGUUUUGCCAGUGGAGAACCUGUCCUCCGUGCACUCUUCCCUGCUUCCUCCCCUCCCCUCCCCUCGCCUGCGUGCGGGGGAUGGGACCCAGAGUCUUGGGCACUAGGCAAGCACUCCGCCACUGAGCUACACUCCCAGCCCUGGGCAUUUCUGAUAACAUUUGAUUUCUAAAGCGAGCUCAUGAGCAACCCUUUGGCAUAUACUUUUCUUCCCCUGCAUUUUCUGACAUGGCCUGUCAUCUGGCCUUGAACUCACUGUGCAGCCCAGGCUGGCCUCGAACUAGUGGCACUCCUCCUGCCUCAGCCUCCCGAGGGCGGGGAUUACAGGCGUGCACCCCGAUGCCUGGAUUGGUAUAUACAGCGGUACUUUGAUGCACGGAUAAUUCUUGUACUCUUUCCCUGACCUAUCUGUUAAAGUCGUGGCACGAA